UGACAGUAACAUACAUACUUUAACGAUAACAAUUUAUGAUCACAACAAGACUAAUUACUGGUUGAAGUCUGUAGGGCGGAAGACUUCCUGAAACACGUAGAGUUCAGGUGGUGACGUCUUACACUCACGGCGAUUGGCGAGACUACGGGUGACACUUGAGGGACUUGUCAACAAAUCCUCAAAUUCGACGUCACACUUUCGUGUACCAGCCUCGUCAAUUCACGACUGAAACAGCAUUGUUCUGGGAAGCAGAAAUAUGCCUUCCAAAAUAAAGCCCACUAUGAACUAUAAGCUGUUGUGACGUCACAUUCUCAAUACAUACUGCUCUUCUGGUAACACAAUAACUUCAUAGAGAGUGAUUGACGGCGUAUUAGAUGAACUGAGCCCCAGCGACAGUGUCCCACUAAAGCAAAAUAUUUUUAUUUUGAAGGUUUUAACUGGAAACGAUGCUCAAUCAUUCACACUUUGUGAUGGUAUUUAUGGGGUCGGAGCUCCAUGGCAACCGGGACACUUUAGAAACACGGAGCUCAGGAAACACUUUGGAGCAGAAGAUGUCCCCAUCGGGAAGUUGUGACAGAAGUGAGGAACACGUCUUUAUUCUAUGACUGUCUGCCAACAACUCCGGCAGGAUACAACAAAGACAGCAUGACAUCACUCAGGACAAACCCCGCCCAACCCCUAACUGCAGGCCUUCUGGGUGAAAGCCCUGGUCCUGAGCUCCCCCACACACAGCGAAAUUUGUGAACUGGAGCCAAAGAAGAUGCCUUCAACAAAGAUGAUCAAGCACAAAGAGGUGAAGGGGAAAACCAAACCUGUCAAGCUCAAACCUGCCAAGCCACAAGUGGCCCCAGUGCGGCAAAACCAAGCAGCCAGCUGCCUUCGACUGACGCAAAAGGGGGCUCACUCACAAACCGAGUGCCCCAGAUGAUCCAGAUCCACCGCGAGUGAGACUCGACUGGGCUCAGCAGGACGCCGUCUGUGAUGUAAAGUGUCCGGAGGACGGCGAGUGUGCAGGACGGCAGGGACGAGUCGGUGUCCAGAAGCUGGGAAUUCACAGGCCUUCACCGUCAUUCCCCCGAACCCCAAGAAGAGAAGAGACAUUCAGAAAAAGGCGGAGGCGGAGUUGGCGGCUUUGGAGGAGCUGAAGCUGAGCAGAGCCAUGGCGUACGUCAACAUCCAGCCGAGCACCGUUGGGGGGUCUUUGACUCUGGAGGAAGUGCGAAUGAAGCAGCAGCAGAAAAUGAUGCAGACCAAGAGGAAGCAGAAAGUGAAGCAAUGUGGUGUGACCAAGGCGUCCUGACAACAGUCCACACAUGCGUGUUCCCACCGGAGGGGACAUUGACGUUUUCUUGCACAAUUUCAACUUUUCUCCUGUGGACAACACGUGACCUUCAUUGAAAUGAAAAAAUAAAUAAUAAUAGAAACCUGUAUAAGAUAUGAUAUAGAUAUAACAUUUACUUUGUGAUUUUUUUUCCUUUUUCAAACAUCACUCAGUCAUCGUCAUUCUGUUUUUUGAAAGCUGAACUGUAUUACAAAACAUAAUUUUCUGAUAUUAGGAUGGUGGUAGUUAUUUCCACAAACAUUUUCUGUUCUCAUCUCAAACAUUUGACCAGCUGUAGAACUCCCAUGUCCAGGGCGUUAUUUAUAUCCGAGUGUGCGGGUGUCCGAUGCGUAUUCUUAAAAACUACACGAGCGGCCAUUGUUGUAGUCCCAUCAGCACCCCAUCCUGUGACGUAAAUGCUGCGUUCAUGAGCUACUCAGAGGAACAAGGGUUUCUCCAUCCAACGUGGACAUUCAGGUAUUUAAAAGACAUUUUACAUCGUAUCGUUGCUGAAUGGUAAAUGUGUCAAUGAUAGGUCGGGAGAUACUUUAUUGAUCGGGGGAGGGGAUUUAGUUGUCAGCAGUAUGAAAAAAUAACUAAAUACAUAAAUAAAUGGUUGAAAUGUGGAAUGGUUUGAAUAAUGG